CAGCAGCCACGGUAAUACGAAGGGGGCUAGCGUUGUUCGGAUUUACUGGGCGUAAAGCGCACGUAGGCGGAUCCUUAAGUCAGAGGUGAAAUCCCAAGGCUCAACCUUGGAACUGCCUUUGAUACUGGGGAUCUCGAGUCCGGGAGAGGUGAGUGGAACUGCGAGUGUAGAGGUGAAAUUCGUAGAUAUUCGCAAGAACACCAGUGGCGAAGGCGGCUCACUGGCCCGGUACUGACGCUGAGGUGCGAAAGCGUGGGGAGCAAACAGGAUUAGAUACCCCAGUAGUCCCUGUCUCUUAUAC
rnacentral:rRNA from 1 species